rnacentral:rRNA from 1 species
CUACGGGUUGCAGCAGUGGGGAAUUUUGCGCAAUGGGGGAAACCCUGACGCAGCAAUACCGCGUGAGUGAAGAAGGCCUUUGGGUCGUAAAGCUCUUUUCUUGGGGAAGAUAGUGACGGUACCCAAGGAAUAAGCACCGGCUAACUCCGUGCCAGCAGCCGCGGUAAUACGGAGGGUGUAAGCGUUGUUCGGAUUUACUGGGCGUAAAGGGCACGUAGGCGGCACAGCAAGUUAAGGGUGAAAUCCCGGGGCUCAACUCCGGAACUGCUCUUAAAACUGCUGAGCUAGAGAUAGUCAGAGGCGGGUGGAAUUCCAGGUGUAGAGGUGAAAUUCGUAGAUAUCUGGAGGAACACCGGUGGCGAAGGCGGCCCGCUGGGGCUAUUCUGACGCUAAGGUGCGAAAGCGUGGGGAGCAAACGGGAUUAGAUACCCCCGUAGUC